AUUGCUUCCUAAGACCCCACCCUUCUCUUCAUCUCUUUUUUUACUUCCGUUAAUUAAAACACCACGGAGUGGAACGGACUCCGCUUCUGCGUCACUAAAUGGUAAAAUGGUAAAUGGCACACUUAUAUAGCGCUUUUAUCCAAAGUGCUUUACACUGUGUCUCAUUUACCCAUUCACACACCAACGGUAGCAGAGCUGCCACGCAAGGCGCUAACUUGCCAUCGGGAGCAACUUGGGGUUCAGCAUCUUGCCCAAGGACACUUUGGCAUGUGGAGUCAUGCUGGCUGGGAAUCGAACCGCCAACCCUACGAUUAGUGGAUAACCCGCUCUACCACCUGAUCCACAGCCGCCCCUGUCACUGUGCAGCUAUCUGUUACAAAUGAAUGGGAAAAUAUCCUUGGCAUCCCUGCAAUUCAAGGAUGUUGUAAUUGGUAAGUUGUGAUGUCAAAAGUAUCUGUACCAAGUUGAUACUAAAAUUUUAAAAAGAAUGAUACGAUAAGUUUUUUUUUCAGUACCGGCAGUACCAAGUAUUCUCCUGCUUUCUGAUUGACUUUCUUUUGUAGGUAUUAAUUAACCGUGAUUUCCACUCAGCCAUCUUACUGGAAUUUGUGUAGGUUAGGAAUAAGACUGAGGAUGGAGUUGUACAGUUUUGUAGUGUGUAUCAUUUGUAAAUAUUGUUAACUUCUUUACCAUAGCCAUGCUGAGGGAGGUGUUGACUAAAUUAGAGAUGGUGCUGGACCAACAAACCACUGAGCUUGCUUCAACUACAGGUGUUCCAGGUGCAGUCUUUGGAUACUGAUGAAGAUUUACUGCCCUGCAAGAUCUUCCUCAACUGCAUAGUCUGGAGCGAAGGAUGCAACAGAGCCCAGAUUGCAAGCAAAAACUGGUGAGAAUUUUUUUCUUUUUUUGUUAACAAUUGCUUGCACAAUUACACAGCGACUGAGAGUGUUUGUUUUCUCAAGGUGACACACUCGUACUCAAAGCACAACAUUCAACACCACUUUGAUAUGAGGGAACAGUUAUGACCUAAUCUUUGGUAGAGGAGCAAAACAUGGAAAGCACACAGGGCAGGGUAACUGCAGGAGUAGUGAGAAGCACUGACACAGUUGACAAGGCAAUACAUGCUUAUUAAUCAUUUAUAUUUUAUAUUAUUUUAUAUUAUAUUAUUGUUUUAAAAAUCAUCGGUUUCGGGUAAACUGGUUGGCGCUUAUUGACAGGGCAGAUGUGCUUGACUGCACCUGGCGCAUAUUGAAGAGGGUGAUUGCUAACUCCCUGGCAAAGAACCUCAAUUGGAGGGGAGUCAAUGGAAAGACUUCACUGGCCGCUCUCCAACUUGGAGAGGUCAUGAUUGAAACCUCUUCACGGCUAAAGCUGCAGAGAUGGAGGUCGAGGGGACCAUGAAGAGGUGGCUCCAGCUGGCAUCAGAUCGAGAGUGCGGGCGCAAGAGAAGACUUUUGAAAACUUUUGCAAAAAGAAGCCCUUUCCAGUAGAGGUUAUAUGAUGUUCCGAUCCAUCUUUUCACACUGAGGACAACCGAGGGACUCGUACACGACUAUUCCAAAAGGUGCAAACAUUCACUGAUGCUCAAGAAGGUUACAGCAUGCAUUAAGAGCCUGGCUGUAAACGUUGUAAACAGGAUGAUCAUGUAAAUUGUUUUGGCUUCUGGGAUACUUCUUCUAUGCUGUAUUAACCAUCUUUCUGUAAUAAACCUUUUUCACCUCAGAGGACGAGUCUGCGAGUGUUGUCUAAUUUCCACGACACAACUCAGUUUUUACAUUUUUUAAUUUUAUUUUUAAAAAAAUAAUUAAAAUUCAAUAACCUUUUGACUGUAUGAGGUACCGGUAAAUGAGAAAAAACAUAGUAAACACUUGGCUCCCAGUAAAAUCUCGCAUUAACUAUAAAAUACUUUUAUUAACCUAUAAAGCACUAAAUGGUCUCGCGCCACAAUAUCUAAGCGACCUUUUGGUUUUAUAUGAUCCGCCACGCCUACUUAGAUCAAAAGAUGCAGGCUAUUUGACGGUACCUCGAAUAGUGAAGGCUACAGCAGGGGGAAGAGCUUUCUCUUAUAGAGCCCCACAGUUAUGGAACAGUCUUCCUAUUAGUGUUCGGGACUCAGACACAGUCUCAGUGUUUAAGUCUAGGCUUAAAACGUAUUUGUUUACUCAAGCCUACCCUGACUAGAUUCUGUUCUACUACUUCGCAGUCAUAAUUAUCUUUUUUCUCCCUCUCUCCUUUCGCCGAGCCCCACAUGAAUUUAUGGAGAUACUAGAGAUCCAGAUCCUUUCUGCCUCUGGAUGGAGCUCAAAUCUUCUCUAAUUCCAGACUGCUGGGACUACGGCUGCUCCUAAGGCCAUACAGACUUCAUAUAAAUCCAUAAUGAACUUUUUCACACUAUCUGUUGUUACCCAGAUGAGGAUGGGUUCCCUUCUGAGUCGGGUUCCUCUCAAGGUUUCUUCCUCUUAAAACAUCUUAGGGAGUUUUUCCUUGCCACCGUCGCCACUCAGUGGCUUGCUCAGUUGGGAUAAAUUCGCACCUUUAAUAUCUGUAUACCAUGUUGAUAUUUCUGUAAAGCUGCUUUGAGACAAUGUCUAUUGUAAAAAGCGCUAUACAAAUAAAAUUGAAUUGAAUUGAAUUGAAUAGUACUACUUUCAUAAAAUGUCAUGUGCAGCUUGAUGCUAAUUAUAGUAAUGUAUAGUAAUUCUGAGUCUUGAACAGUAAACUCUCAAGUGUCAUUGUCAUGUCACAGCAAACCAGCGACUCUGUUUCCCAGAAUGCACCUCAGACUACAAACAUGGCAAACACAAACUACAACUCCAAACCAACACACCGACAUUGUUAACCUUCUCCAGAAUACUAAUCAGACAAACCUGUUACCAAUGAACCCACUACAUUAGAGAAGGAAAUACUGGAUGUGAAGUGUAUUAGUGCUAGUGUGUGCAUAGACUAUCAGUUUAGAUACUGACCCUGAACACUACUAACAUGCAGUGCUUUCUUGGGGUGGUGCUGAAGUUGGAGUUGAACCGGUAAGAAAGAUAUUAGAGAGAGGCUUCUUUACACUCCUGAGGAUGUUCAAUUAGAACCUGCACCAAACUCACCUGAUUCAAGUCAUCAGCUAAUUAAGCGGCCUGCACGAGCUGAGGUGGGUGCUUUAGAGCAGAUAAAACAC